UACGUAGGGUGCAAGCGUUGCUCGGAAUUACUGAGCGUAAAGGGCUCGUAGGCGGCCAACUAAGUCAGACGUGAAAUCCCUCGGCUUAACCGGGGAACUGCGUCCGAGACUGAAAGGCUUGAAUCCGGGAGAGGGAUGUGGAAUUCCAGGUGUAACGGUGAAAUGCGUAGAUAUCUGGAGGAACACCGGUGGCGAAGGCGGCAUCCUGGACCGGCAUUGACGCUGAGGCGCGAAAGCUAGGGGAGCAAACGGG
rnacentral:rRNA from 1 species